GGCAAGGUGGCCGAGCGGUCUAAGGCGCCACGUUAAGGUUGUAGCAAAACCCUUAAUCCUCUACUCACAGUUUGCGAGUUUCCGUGGUCUCGAAAGGGGCGUGAGUUCGAAUCUCACCCUUGUCA